GUGCCAGCCGCCGCGGUAAUACGGAGGGGGCAAGCGUUAUUCGGAAUCAUUGGGCGUAAAGGGCGCGUAGGCGGCCUGGCAAGUCAAAGGUGAAAUCCCUCGGCCUAACCGAGGAACUGCCUUUGAAACUGCAAGGCUCGAGGCCGGGAGAGGGUAGCGGAAUUCCCAGUGUAGCGGUGAAAUGCGUAGAUAUUGGGAGGAACACCAGUGGCGAAGGCGGCUACCUGGACCGGUUCUGACGCUGAUGCGCGAAAGCGUGGGGAGCAAACAGGAUUAGAAACCCUUGUAGUCC
rnacentral:rRNA from 1 species